UCAUUGGCAAUUACCCUGGGUGCCAGAGGUUCUUCCAAUCCCUCAUUAUUCCCCCUACGAGCAUGGAAGAACCUCUGGCACCCAGGGUAAUUGCCAAUGGGCA